CUACAAAUAACCAAAAAUCCGGCUUGAUUUUCUUCCCCCCUCUCCCUCCAUUAUGACAAAGCAUAUUUAUGUAAGCCAGAUGCUAUGACAACAAUAAAACCCAGCCCUCAAGUGAAUGCUCUGGACAGCAACAGUUCUAUGACUCCAUCUGGACUUGCAAGACCCAGGAGCAUGAGCUGUCCACUGGAGAAAAAGAUAGUUCUUGCAUCAGAAUGGACAGUCCCCUUCAAGUCUGAAAAGAGCUGGCUUAAGUCCCAGCUGCUCUUUGUGGACCAGGACUGAACAUAUCUUUGUACCCUCCACCUCCAACACGAGGCCUGGAACUUGACAGGACAAGGCUAUUGUGAGCAUGGAACUGUGUGACACUCCACCAUCUUAUCCAAGUGGACUAUGCAAGAUUUCCAUCUCCCCAUUUCCACGUGGCAAAUGUAGAGCAAAUAAGAUUUGAAGCCUCCAAUAGACUGAAAAAUGUCAACCCAGAUUUCUCCCCACCAAAACCAACCAACCAACCAACCAGAGAAAUUCCACAUGUUAGAAACUCCCCAUGAGCUUGGAUCCAAAGAUUCGGUGAUAUCCAGCUGGCAGUCUAUGCCAGAUUUGUCAAAGUGAGUCCCAAGGCUCCUAAAGAAGCGUUAAUCUUCUGUCAGGAGUACCAACUCCAAUAGGGCCUCAACAAGCAAAUUAUGUUCCGGAGAUUUUAGGGCCCAAUGGUGGUAAAAUGUUUAUCACUCUAAUGGCUUUGAAGUGUAAACAGACUUCAUAUCAACACAGUGAUUCUUCUUAUACACACAUUCGGGCUUUUAAAUUGCGCUUAAGUUGGCAGGCUUAAAAGCAGAUUAGUGAGUUUCAAGAUCUAGGGUUUUCCCAGGAAAAGCACAUUUAUUGAGCCAGUUGGUCAGUCACUGAUCUAAAACAAUUGUCUUACCUUAGAAAUUUUAGACCCUGAGAUGUCUUAAGGGUGUCUGAGAUCCAGAAAUUCUCCCUUGAACACAAUCCAAGAAGGGCCAAUAAAUAAACCUGAUUCAUGGCAAGAGGCAUUACAUUCAGAAAAAGACCCACACAUCACAAUAAUCCACUCGAUUACUGGAGCAGGAAUGUAGAUCAGGGAUGUAAACUGGCAGUGGAUUAAAAGGAAAAAAAACCCACAAUAAUGCCUAAUAUUGAGAUAGCACAGCUCUCAAUAAUUCAAAGCACAUGCGCUUCUAUUGUGUUACCUUAACCUAGCCAGAAGCCUGUAAAGGCAGGUAUAAGGAGGGCUAGUAACCGCAGUUUAAAAAGGAAAAAAGUUUAAAGAGGUAAAUUAUUGACUUGGCCAAGGUUAUUUAGGCAAUCGAUGAAAGCCAGAUUCAUAACCCAGUCUCCCACCUAAGGAAGUCAACUUGCCUAUGACAGUGACUAGUGGUAACCAAGCCAGUAAGGAAGAUUCAAAACCAGCAGCUAAAUCAAAGAUGUUAACUGGGUGUUCAAGAAUCCUCCUUGUGACUCAAGGAUCAAGGAAAGACCAAGAAAACAAGUCUCUCCCACGAGUUAAGUUCAGAACCCAAAGCUCCUUCUUUCCUCAGAAAAAAGCUACAAGCAUUUCACCUGCCUUCUGAAAGGAGGCAAGAGAGAGUCCAAGUGCUACAUCCUCUUACCUAUACCUUCUUACUUCACCCCAUGUCAGAUGCUUGGGAACCACCACAAACCAGGGAGCUGCCCUGUGAAGCUUAGCAUCUCUCUCCCUCUCUUAUCUCCAACUAUAGAGAGAAUAGCAGUAAGUCGAACAACACUCCACUUCUCCAAAAAAGUUUAUACACAUGCGUGAGCAUUCCAUACAAUGUAUGUAAUAAACUGGAAGAGCACCCAAGUAAAUAAAGAACAGAUCAAAAGGGAGGUAUGAGGCAGCCACAUUCAACUCUGCACUUGAAAAUUUAAAUGAAUACUCCUUGAGAGCAAACUACAAAAUGCUAACCUUGAAGUGCUGAGUGGCAGGAAGAAUUAUGGGUUAUUGUACUGUCAAAAUGCCAGACAGCUGUAUGUUGAGUUGCUGCGUUAUUUAGACAAUCAGAAACUUGGAAGCUAAUGUGACAUAUUUUUUUUCGGUGUGAAAGCUCUUGACAUGCAUCGCGAUAAUUUCUAAAGGGACAAAAUGUUAUAUAAAAAACAUGGUGCCUUCAGGAGAUGGUCUCAUAGGUAGAACAGCCCCAGGCAGACCAGGAAGGAUGUCAACAAUGUGGACUUCCCAAGGGAGAGGACCAUUUCCUUCCAGUCUUAGUCCACAGGGGGGUGGUCCCAAGCAACAUGGAGCGCACUCAUUACAACUUCCUACUCUCUCAUCACGGAAGAAAUGCUCCUGGAUUCACCUGCCUGGCUGUAGGCUGGGCUGGGCCAGGUGAAGCCCACUAAUUGCAGGAUCAUCUCUCAGCUGGAUGAGCAAUAUGGCGAUCACAUUCAGAGGAUGCUACCAGAGAUCAUGGUGCUGUGCAAACCAGGGGGAGAAAUGGGGCUAUAAUUCUACCUCUGCUGUUGCAAGUUAGUUUCCUUCCACAUGUAUUCUUGAUUGGCUCGUGGACAAGUACACAUAGAAUGAGUGGGAGCCAUUUUAAGGAAAUUCCUAGCUUUGACUCUCAGGUUGCCCUAAAGUGAGAGUGGGAGGCAGGUCAUGGUUGACUGUACCUGAAAUUCUACCUUCAGUACUUUCACUACAACUAAAAUACAAACAUUAACACAUUGAACUUCCAAGAGUCACCGCUAACUUAGGGCAUAUGGAAGUUCUGAGAAUUGGUUUUGCCGGGUGGGGGGAGGAGGAGUAUAGGAUUUAAGAUCCAGAUGAGGGACAGGGGCCUAUGGGACAGGCAGAAAGACAAGCCAGAGAAAAUUCCAGAUAGAAAGUACCAUACUCUGUGGAUUUGCCCUCUUCUCUGCAUUUCUUCUUGAUCAAAAGGAAAACCAUCCCAUCCAGGAGAAGAGAAAGUAGCUGGAGACUGGUGGGUCAAGGGGAGUGUUCCUCUCCUAACAAGCAUUUCCAGUCAGCAGGCACAGACUCUAUCCUGAGGCCACCUCUACCACAUGUACCAAUAGCAUGACCUUUAGCAAAUUAUUUAACCACAGUUUCCUUAAAUGCAAAGUGGGAACAACAAGAAUAACAUCCUCAAACUGAUGUUGAAAGAUUUCAUGGGCUAAUUACUUAGAGCAGUGCCAGCCAGGUGAUGAUGGUUCUACUCAAAUAUUAUCACAGCAUCCUCUUCUUAUCAUCACAGCUAACAGUUUAUACCAAAUCCCCACUGCCAGCUGCAGGAGUAGAAUCCCCCGGGAUACUUUUCCCAGGACAGCAAAGCAACUUUGAAUCACAAGAGUUUCCUGUGCUCCCUGCUAUGUGAUCCUAGACAGGAUCCUACACCCAACACUCACCCACCCCAGAAAAGGCCAGCAUACUGUGCCAUGCAGAGAAGGAAGUCCAUUGUCUAAGUGGAAAUCACCUGGAUUUAGAUGGUGCCACCCCCCCCACAAGCUCCACUACGCGUUGUAAGUAAAGACACUCUCUUCUUUUUUUCUUUUCUACCUUGUUUUUAUUUUUAUUUGACAGUUAACCUAAAUGUUAAGAUAAUACCCUGUAAUCUGGGUCCUUAAAAACUGAUAUGCAGCCAGAGGAUAAGACUGGUAAAUGAAUGAAUUCGAAGCUGAUUCCAAAAGCUGUGCUAUUUGGCUAUAGCUACUCUGGAAAAAUUAGGAAUACAAGGACUGGGGCCAAUGUCUUCGCACACAACAGUGGUUCAAUACUUUCCACCCACCAUUCCCUGGGUCAUUAUGAGGAUCUCAGGGUAUGAGAUGGUCUACUGACACCUCCAGGUAUGAGAUGGACUACUCAAGCUCCCCACACACUUAAGGAAGACAGUGAAAGUCCGCUAGAGGAAAGAUUGUUCCUUUCUCCAGUAUUAGGGAUCAUUUUCUGCUGAAAUCAGGAAACACCUAUAUCCUUUAAGCAAAUUAUCAUGGCAGGUGUGCUCACCAGAAAUUUCAUUUUUAUGAAUCAGUAUGGGAAUAGUUCUUGCCUACAAUAUGCAUAAAUGAAGAACCGGGGGCAUGAUCUAUCUAAUUCCAUCCAACUCUUGCUUGAGUCAUAGCAAUAAACAUAGGGAUAGACAGGGAAGUUCUGCAUUGGAUGGAAAGGAUAUUUUCCCCUACUCACUAAAAGUUGCCUGUCAAGGGUACCUGAGUGACUCAGUCAGUUAAGCGCCUGAUUUUGGCUCAGGUCAUGAUUUCACAGUUCGUGAGUUCAAGCCCUGCGCCAGGCUCUGUGCUGACAGCUCGGAGCCUGGAGCCUGCUUCGGAUUCUGUGUCUCCCUCUCUCUCUCUGCUCCUCCCCCACUCAUGCUCUGUCUCUCUCUCAAAAAUAAUAAACAUUAAAAUUUUUUUAAGUUGCCUGUCAGAAGCACUGACCACUGACUUUCCUAAUCUUCCUUUGCUACUUUAAAUAUAAGUCUUUAUAUGUGAUAGAGACCACAUCAAUGUUACCCCAAAGGAUGGCACCAUUGACAAGCCUACACAAGAUGGAUUCAUAUGCUCAGGAAUCAAAAACACAUGCUUCAAAGUCUGAAAGGCUUUGGCAAAUGAUAGCUUAUGACUCUAGAGAGUUUCUUAACCUAUCUGUACGCCAUUUUCCUCAUAUGCAUAAUGCAGAGACUGUCACCCAGUGAUAAGAUUGUUAUAAUUAAAUGACAUAAUAUACACCAAAUGCAUGGCCCCUGCAGGGCCUGGGACACAGAAAGAGCUAAAUAAAUGAGUCGUCAUCAUCAUCAUCAUCAUCAAUCCAAAUAGUGUCUGAGUCUCUUCAUGCCACCACAUAUAGUAAGGAAGACAUAAAAUGCUUAAUUCACCUGAAUCCAUACUCUCAUAAGUCAGGGACAGCUGACUAUUGUUCUCUGUGAGGUCUGCGGGGACAGUGAGACUACACGGAGUAACAGGACAGUGAGGUGUGACAUAAGAGGCACUUAAACUGGAAGCCAGGCAUCCAAAUCUGGUCCUGCCUCACCCCUAACUCACUGUGUCAGCCUGGCCAGUUCACACAAUCAUCCUAGGCUUUGGUUUCCUUAUUU